AGCUUUGUCCAGGGAGACGUGACCAGCGUGGCCCAUCCCACUGCCCAAGAGAGAGGUCCAGCCCUUACCCGCUUCUGCUCAGUGCUGAGGCCUCAGCCGGUCAGAACGGGCUGCAGGGUUCGGAUGGGUGCUCAUGGAAGAUGGGGAAAGGCUCAAAAGCUGAGCACAGAUGACAGCUGGCAGAAGAGAGGGGGCUCCUAGUGAGGCACAAGGAGAUGAGAACAAAGGGACAGCUUUUUUUUGAAGUUACUGAACACUCUGGGGUUUUGGACACCAGGGACCCACGUACCAAAACUACACGAACAAUAUUUUUCGCAGCCGAGCACGUCUCUUGAAUCAUGGAAUCGCUGAUGAACCGAGAGCUAUGCAUUUUCUGCAGGAUCUGGAGAACGCUUCUGAACAGCAACAAAAUGGCGCAAUUGAGAACCACAACAGCUCAUCCAGUUGGUUUUCGCUGUGCGUACAAGUAUGUCAUUUGUGGCCACGCGGAAGCCUGGAGAGCCGCUUCAUGAAGGAACACGCUCAGGCAGCUUGCACAACCCUCAGUGAGAAGAGUGUGGUUACAGGUUUCCUUUGAAACAC